rnacentral:rRNA from 1 species
UACAGAGGGUGCAAGCGUUAAUCGGAAUGACUGGGCGUAAAGGGCGCGUAGGUGGUGCUGUAAGUUAGGUGUGAAAUCCCCGGGCUUAACCUGGGAAGGUCACCUAAUACUGUGGCGCUAGAGUAGAGUAGAGGGAAGUAGAAUUUCCGGUGUAGCGGUGAAAUGCGUAGAUAUCGGAAGGAAUACCAGUGGCGAAGGCGCUUUCUGGACUCAUACUGACACUGAGGCGCGAAAGCGUGGGGAGCAAACAGG